UAGGGAAUAUUAGUAAUGGGCGAAAGCCUGAACUAGCAACGCCGCGUGUGCGAAGAAGGCCUUCGGGUUGUAAAGCACUUUUUGAGGGGAUGAGGAAGGACGGUACUCUCAGAAUAAGUCUCGGCUAACUACGUGCCAGCAGCCGCGGUAACACGUAGGAGGCGAACGUUAUCCGGAUUUACUGGGCGUAAAGCGCGUGUAGGUGGUCUGGUAAGUAGGGCGUGAAAGCUCCUGGCUCAACUGGGAGAGGCCGUUCUAAACUGCCGAACUAGAGGAUGGUAGAGGGAGGUGGAAUUCCGGGUGUAGCGGUGGAAUGCGCAGAUAUCCGGAGGAACACCAGUGGCGAAAGUGGCCUCCUGGACCAUUCCUGACACUCAGACGCGAAAGCUAGGGUAGCAAACGG
rnacentral:rRNA from 1 species